rnacentral:ncRNA from 1 species
UAAAAGACUAUGAUUAGGAAAAGUAUCUUAAGAUAUUAUUUUUAGAGAGUAGCUGUUUGGUGUAAAGCUAUAAUAAAUCUUAGAGAAAAUCACCUAGGAGUUGGAGACUGAAAGGCGAGAUUAGCCAAAUAAGUUAUCACGUAACAGCCUGCGUUAAAGGAUUGAGUAUGUAUGUACUUGAAAUAAAACAUUUAAUUUAUUAUUAAGUGUUAACCUUAGGUGGUUCGCGAAUUCAACUUCGUCCUGUAG